rnacentral:rRNA from 1 species
AGCAGCCGCGGUAAUUCCAGCUCCAAUAGCGUAUAUUAAAGUUGUUGCAGUUAAAAAGCUCGUAGUUGAAUUUCGGGAUCAAUACGUCGGUCAUGCUUUUUGGUACGAACUGGCGUCAUUGGUUUCUCCUUUCUGACGAACCAUGAUGUCAUUAAUUUGGUGUUAUGGGGAGUUGGGACUGUUACUUUGAAAAAUUAGAGUGUUUAAAGCAGGCAUAAGCUUGAAUACAUUAGCAUGGAAUAAUGAAAUAGGACGUUUGAUCCUAUUUUGUUGGUUUCUAGGAUCAACGUAAUGAUUAAUAGGGAUAGUUGGGGGCAUUAGUAUUCAAUUGUCAGAGGUGAAAUUCUUGGAUUUAUUGAAGACUAACUACUGCGAAAGCAUUUGCCAAGGAUGUUUUCAUUAAUCAAGAACGAAAGUUAGGGGAUCGAAGACGAUCAGAUACCGUCGUAG